GAUGAACGCUGGCGGCGUGCCUAAUACAUGCAAGUCGAGCGAACAGAUGAGGAGCUUGCUCCUCUGACGUUAGCGGCGGACGGGUGAGUAACACGUGGAUAACCUACCUAUAAGACUGGGAUAACUUCGGGAAACCGGAGCUAAUACCGGAUAAUAUAUUGAACCGCAUGGUUCAAUAGUGACAGACGGUUUUGCUGUCACUUAUAGCUGGAUCCGCGCUGCAUUAGCUAGUUGGUAAGGUAACGGCUUACCAAGGCAACGCUGCGUAGCCGACCUGAGGGGGUGAAGGGCCACAGUGGAAGUGAGACGCGAUACAGACUCCUAGGUGAGGCAGCGAUAGGGAAUCGUCGGCAAUGUGCGAAAGCCUGACGGAGCAACGCCGCGUUGGUGAAGAAGGUCUGCGGAUCGGAAAACGCUGUUAGUAUUGAAGAACGAAUGUGUAAGUAACUAUGCACGUCGUGACGGUACCUGAACAGAAAGCCACGGCUAACUACGUG
rnacentral:rRNA from 1 species